AUUAAAACACUGGUUCCCAUAUGUUCAUCGAAAUUAAGCAACAUCGACCUUGAUCAGUAUCUAGACGGGUGACCACUUGGGAAUAUCAGGUGCUGCAGG